rnacentral:rRNA from 1 species
UACGGAGGGGGCCAGCGUUGUUCGGAAUUAUUGGGCGUAAAGGGCGCGUAGGCGGCCAGGUAGGUCUGGUGUGAAAACUCGAGGCUUAACCUCGAGAUGUCAUCGGAAACCAUCUGGCUAGAGUCCGGAAGAGGAGAGUGGAAUUCCUGGUGUAGCGGUGAAAUGCGUAGAUAUCGUAAGGAAGACCAGUGGCGAAGGCGGGUCUCUGGACAGUUCCUGACGCUGAGGCACGAAGGUCAGGGGAGCAAACGGG